AUUCGCUGUUAUGCAUAAAAAUGGAACAUGGGUUAAGCACAGUGGGAAAAUCAUAAAGAAGCUAAAAGGUCACUAAGACCCUUUAAAAUUCACAUAAAGUUAUCAGCUAGGUUGCAGCUCUGAGGUCAGCACUGCCUAUGUCCCUGGCAAGAAGCAAAAGCACUGAAGUUAUCUCACUGAUUUGGGAUUAAAGCUGGAUGCCUGAAGCAAUUGUUGUGUUCGUUGAAUAAAUGUGCUUAGACAUUUAUUCACUGUUUUUAAGUAUUAGCAGUUUAGUAGCUUGCGCCUCUUUCCCCUAGAGUUAGUCACUCCCAAAGAAUGUAAAUCUGGCAGAGCUGAACUCUGCAGCAGGGAAAACGAAACCCUGGAGACGGGAAUCUUCAUUAAAACAGUUAUUUAUUAACCCUGCUUAGCUGUGGGUUUUUUAUGUUAAUCAAGACACGCAAUGACUAAAUUAAGUGCCAGGCAGAACAAUAGGAUGAGUAUUGUCAUGGCUAACUGCUCAACCUGCAGUGCAACGGUAAGGUAGAAACGUUUACCUUCUGUUGUCCUUCCCUGCAUGCACUUACUCUCUGCCGUUUAUUCUCUGCUGAGAUUUUCCAUAGCUAGAGCCUGGAUAAAAACCUAUAAACCCCCAGGACGUUUCUUUCGGUAGACACCUGCUGGCUUUUACUCCAAACUGCAUCAAUUGAGAACAGGUACCUGACAGAUUACCUUGCACUGAACACACGGUGUGACCUCUGGAGGAUAAAAUAUCACCAGGAACACUGGACACCUAAGAUUGUAAGGGCAUGACAUGGCACCCAUCAGAUUGGAGACAGAACGGGGAUAAUCUCCAGAAUGAGAGAAAGAAAGAAAAAUCCACCCAGAAGGAACAAUGACAGAGGAUUCUUCCACAUAUGCAAACACAAAGAGGUCGCUCUGAGAAGACAUCAAGAGCCCCUUUAGAAGAGUGGGAUGUGCUUUGAGCAAUACGUGUUGCUCCUAUCAGGACCCUUGGGGUCUGAUCC